CUUGAAUUCUGAAUUGGAAUAAAGCAUUUUAUUGAAUUUAAAAACAUAAUUUCUCGUUAUCAAUCCUUUCCGCAUUGGAAUUAAAAUAAUUGCCAAAUUUUUGCAACCCCAGGAAUCAAUGAAUGACAGCCAAAUCAUGCCCCAGAGAUAAGGGAAAAACAUUCAAGAGAGUGAUGAAAGAGCUUAAAUGUUAGUAAACAAGAGAGUAAUCUUUGACGUCUGCAAUUUUUGGAGCAAUCGGUCAACGUUGCCAUGACCUUUUUGACUGACGAUGUGGCAUUGAAUCGCUUCAUGAGAGAAGCGAAAUUAAUCGAAUUCUUUGGUGGCGAUCGUUCGUUCUAUUCUAAAAGCGAUAUCAGUCGUCAGUGAGCUGGCUGCCAUCAUGCGAUUCGGACACUUCUUUUGCUUUCUCGCGGCUUAUAUUUUCUUCUUUCUUGCCGCUGCUGCAACGGCGUCCGACGUAAAUGCGACUUCCGGGAAUUCAGAUGAUGCAAUUCCCUAUGCAAUUACAAACAUAGUAAAGGGUUGCCAGAAAGUACGCGGGCGGUGUAUUAAGAAAAGCUAGCAAGAAAUUAGAGACAAAGAGCUAAAGAAGUCCGUCAAGCCAUCAAGUGAUGCUUUUCCGUUUUAUAUUUCGAUGAUAAUUAAACCAUCCGUUUGCUUGUAAUUGGAUUAAUAAAUUUCAAAUGAUUCAAA